rnacentral:rRNA from 1 species
CAUUUAAAGAAAGCGUAAUAGCUCACUGGUCGAGUCGGCCUGCGCGGAAGAUGUAACGGGGCUAAACCAUGCACCGAAGCUGCGGCAGCGACACUCAGGUGUUGUUGGGUAGGGGAGCGUUCUGUAAGCCUGCGAAGGUGGCCUGUGAGGGUUGCUGGAGGUAUCAGAAGUGCGAAUGCUGACAUAAGUAACGAUAAAGCGGGUGAAAAGCCCGCUCGCCGGAAGACCAAGGGUUCCUGUCCAACGUUAAUCGGGGCAGGGUGAGUCGACCCCUAAGGCGAGGCCGAAAGGCGUAGUCGAUGGGAAACGGGUUAAUAUUCCCGUACUUGGUGUUACUGCGAAGGGGGGACGGAGAAGGCUAUGUUGGCCGGGCGACGGUUGUCCCGGUUUAAGCGUGUAGGUGUGUGUUCCAGGUAAAUCCGGUUCACUUUAACACUGAGGCGUGACGACGAGGCACUACGGUGCUGAAGCAACAAAUGCCCUGCUUCCAGGAAAAGCCUCUAAGCAUCAGGUAACAUCAAAUCGUACCCCAAACCGACACAGGUGGUCAGGUAGAGAAUACCAAGGCGCUUGAGAGAACUCGGGUGAAGGAACUAGGCAAAAUGGUGCCGUAACUUCGGGAGAAGGCACGCUGACAUGUAGGUGAAGUGAUUUACUCAUGGAGCUGAAGUCAGUCGAAGAUACCAGCUGGCUGCAACUGUUUAUUAAAAACACAGCACUGUGCAAACACGAAAGUGGACGUAUACGGUGUGACGCCUGCCCGGUGCCGGAAGGUUAAUUGAUGGGGUCAGCGCAAGCGAAGCUCCUGAUCGAAGCCCCGGUAAACGGCGGCCGUAACUAUAACGGUCCUAAGGUAGCGAAAUUCCUUGUCGGGUAAGUUCCGACCUGCACGAAUGGCGUAAUGAUGGCCAGGCUGUCUCCACCCGAGACUCAGUGAAAUUGAACUCGCUGUGAAGAUGCAGUGUACCCGCGGCAAGACGGAAAGACCCCGUGAACCUUUACUAUAGCUUGACACUGAACAUUGAGCCUUGAUGUGUAGGAUAGGUGGGAGGCUUUGAAGCGUGGACGCCAGUCUGCGUGGAGCCGACCUUGAAAUACCACCCUUUAAUGUUUGAUGUUCUAACGUGGACCCGUAAUCCGGGUUGCGGACAGUGUCUGGUGGGUAGUUUGACUGGGGCGGUCUCCUCCUAAAGAGUAACGGAGGAGCACGAAGGUUGGCUAAUCCUGGUCGGACAUCAGGAGGUUAGUGCAAUGGCAUAAGCCAGCUUGACUGCGAGCGUGACGGCGCGAGCAGGUGCGAAAGCAGGUCAUAGUGAUCCGGUGGUUCUGAAUGGAAGGGCCAUCGCUCAACGGAUAAAAGGUACUCCGGGGAUAACAGGCUGAUACCGCCCAAGAGUUCAUAUCGACGGCGGUGUUUGGCACCUCGAUGUCGGCUCAUCACAUCCUGGGGCUGAAGUAGGUCCCAAGGGUAUGGCUGUUCGCCAUUUAAAGUGGUACGCGAGCUGGGUUUAGAACGUCGUGAGACAGUUCGGUCCCUAUCUGCCGUGGGCGCUGGAGAACUGAGGGGGGCUGCUCCUAGUACGAGAGGACCGGAGUGGACGCAUCACUGGUGUUCGGGUUGUCAUGCCAAUGGCACUGCCCGGUAGCUAAAUGCGGAAGAGAUAAGUGCUGAAAGCAUCUAAGCACGAAACUUGCCCCGAGAUGAGUUCUCCCUGAGACUUAGAGUCUCCUGAAGGAACGUUGAAGACGACGACGUUGAUAGGCCGGGUGUGUAAGCGCAGCGAUGCGUUGAGCUAACCGGUACUAAUGAACCGUGAGGCUUAACCUU